GACGAACGCUGGCGGCGUGCUUAACACAUGCAAGUCGAACGGAAAGGCCCUGCUUUUGUGGGGUGCUCGAUUGGCGAACGGGUGAGUAACACGUGAGUAACCUGCCCUUGACUUUGGGAUAACUUCAGGAAACUGGGGCUAUUACCGGAUAGGAGCUCCUGCUGCAUGGUGGGGGAUGGACAGUUUCGGCGGUUGGGUAUGGACUCGCGGCUUAUCAGCUUGUUGGUGGGGUAGUGGCUUACCAAGGCUUUGACGGGUAGCCGGCCUGAGAGGGUGACCGGCCACAUUGGGCCUGAGAUACGGACCAGAAUCCUACGGGCGGCAGCAGGGGGGAAUAUUGCACAAUGGGCGGAAGCCUGUUGCAGCAGCGCCGCGUGCGGGAUAACGGGCUUCUGGUUGUAAACCGAUUUCGCCUGUGACGAAGCGUGAGUGACGGUAAUGGGUAAAGAAGCCCCGGCUAACUACGUG
rnacentral:rRNA from 1 species